AUACAUUUCAGUCUGAUUCACCAUGAUCAGUCUAGUUAACAAUAUGUCAUCAUACAAAAACAGUACAUAGUUAUUGACCAUAUUUGCCACAGUGUAUAUUUCAUACCAGUGACUCAUUUGUUUUGCAACUGAAAGUUUGUACUUCUUAAUCUGCCUCAUCUUUUAAUUUCCUCCUCUA